UAUGAGUAGGUGUAAAAAAUUAUGGCACGUUGGUUUUUGAUUCCAAAAGGGAGAGUUCAGUCUUUCACACAUAA
rnacentral:tRNA from 1 species